rnacentral:rRNA from 1 species
CGUGCCAGCAGCCGCGGUAAUACGGAGGAUGCAAGCGUUAUCCGGAAUGAUUGGGCGUAAAGGGUCCGCAGGUGGCAUUGUAAGUCUGCUGUUAAAGAGUUUGGCUCAACCAAAUAAGAGCAGUGGAAACUACAAAGCUAGAGUGUGGUCGGGGCAGAGGGAAUUCCUGGUGUAGCGGUGAAAUGCGUAGAUAUCAGGAAGAACACCAGUGGCGAAGGCGCUCUGCUAGGCCGAGACUGACACUGAGGGACGAAAGCUAGGGGAGCGAAUGGGAUUAGAUACCCCAGUAGUCCUAGCCGUAAACGAUGGAUACUAGGCGUAGCUCGUAUCGACCCGAGCUGUGCCGGAGCUAACGCGUUAAGUAUCCCGCCUGGGGAGUACGCAGGCAACUGUGAAACUCAAAGGAAUUGNCGGGGGCCCGCACAAGCGGUGGAGUAUGUGGUUUAAUUCGAUGCAACGCGAAGAACCUUACC